rnacentral:rRNA from 1 species
GUAGGUGAACCUGCGGAAGGAUCAUUAUCGAGCGAAUCCAAAACGAACGAAAAAGUCUCCCAACGUGCAUACCUUCCAUUUGCAUGUUGUUGUGAGCCACAUGGAAACUCGUACACACGUGGUGGCAGCCGUCUGCUGUGCUUUUUUUAGGCAGACAAUGGCUUACGAGUGGCYGUGUGCUUGUUGAACAACGGUGACCAAUUUGGCGUCUACGCCGUAUCUAGCUUCUGCCUGGACCGUCAGUUGCGAUGAAAGAUGCGGAGAAAGUUCCUUUGUUUUGGCUGCUAAUCAUCAUUGAUGAGCAGYAGCUUAAGGCAGAGUUGAGCAGACUUAAUGAGCCACGCUAGGUGGCCGCCAAAACCCAAAACACAACCGGUCUAUUUGACAUUGUUAUUUCAUUGUAUGUGUUGAAAAUGUACAAAUCUUGGCGGUGGAUCACUCGGUUCGUGGAUCGAUGAAGAACGCAGCCAGCUGCGAUAAAUAGUGCGAAUUGCAGACACAUUGAGCACUAAGAAUUCGAACGCACAUUGCGCUAUCGGGUUCAUUCCCGAUGGCACGUCUGGCUGAGGGUCGAAUUACGGUGAACUGUCUUCACGGUUUUUCUGGACUGUGAAGCAUUCGGCAAGCAAUUGCUGUUGUGUUGUUGGUGAUUCUAUCAUGGACAAUAUGACGAGCGGUUCCUUGCUUAGUGAUGACAAAAGAAGACGUCAACACCGAAUCUACUAUACUACUAAUACUAGUAUAUAGGUGAGGUGCUUUUGGUGGUCACAAAAGUGACAAGUAUGCCAUUUCAUAGGGGCAACAACCAGCAUACGUGAUAAGUUGGCUGGUUGAUGAAACGGCAACGGAAUGACGGACGUCUAUGUGAUCAAAAAUGAUACUAUUUGACCUCAGCUCAGUCGUGAUUACCCGCUGAAUUUAAGCAUAUAAUUAAGCGGAGGAAAAGAAACUAA